rnacentral:rRNA from 1 species
UGAGUAACACGUAGGUGACUUGCCCCGAAGAUGGGGAUAACCUCUGGAAACGGGGGCUAAUACCCAAUGUGCUCGGUGAUUCGGUUGAUCGAGUAAAGCUCCGGCGCUUCGGGAGAGGCCUGCGGCCCAUCAGCUAGUUGGUAGGGUAACGGCCUACCAAGGCAGAGACGGGUAGGGGGCGUGAGAGCGCGGACCCCCACACUGGCACUGCGACACGGGCCAGACUCCUACGGGAGGCAGCAGUAAGGAAUAUUGCGCAAUGGACGAAAGUCAGACGCAGCGACGCCGCGUGGGCGAUGAAGGCCUUCGGGUUGUAAAGCCCUUUUAUGGGGGAAGAGAAAAAGGACGGUACCCCAUGAAUAAGUCCCGGCUAACUACGUGCCAGCAGCCGCGGUAAAACGUAGGGGACAAGCGUUAUCCGGAUUCACUGGGCGUAAAGAGCGUUGAGGCGGUUCCGUAAGUUGGGCGUGAAAGCUCCGGGCUUAGCCCGGAGAUGUCGUUCAAUACUGCGGGGCUUGAGGACAGCAGAGGAAGGUGGAAUUCCCGGUGUAGUGGUGAAAUGCGUAGAUAUCGGGAGGAACACCCGUGGCGAAGGCGGCCUUCUGGGCUGUUCCUGACGCUGAAGGCGAAAGCUAGGGGAGCGAACGGGAUUAGAUACCCCGGUAGUCCUAGCUGUAAACGAUGGAUGCUGGGUGUGGGGGGUGUAAAUUCCCUCUGUGCCGAAGCAAACGCGUUAAGCAUCCCGCCUGGGGACUACGGCCGCAAGGCUAAAACUCAAACGAAUUGACGGGGGCCCGCACAAGCAGCGGAGCGUGUGGUUUAAUUCGAUGCUACACGAAGAACCCUUACCUGGGUUUGACAUGCACGUGGUAGGGAACCGAAAGGGGACCGACCUUCGGGAGCGUGCACAGGUGCUGCAUGGCUGUCGUCAGCUCGUGCCGUGAGGGUGGGGUUAAGUCCCGUAACGAGCGCAACCCUUGCCCUUAGUUACAAGUGUCUAAGGGGACUGCCCGGGACAAUUGGGAGGAAGGUGGGGAUGAUGUCAAGUCAGCAUGUCCUUUAUAUCCAGGG